UACGUAGGGUCCGAGCGUUAAUCGGAAUUACUGGGCGUAAAGCGUGCGCAGGCGGUUUUGUAAGCCAGAUGUGAAAGCCCCGGGCUCAACCUGGGAACUGCAUUGGAAACUAACGGGCUCGAGUGUGGCAGAGGGGGGUGGAAUUCCACGUGUAGCAGUGAAAUGCGUAGAGAUGUGGAGGAACACCGAUGGCGAAGGCAGCCCCCUGGGCUAACACUGACGCUCAUGCACGAAAGCGUGGGGAGCAAACAGG
rnacentral:rRNA from 1 species